ACGCAAGAUUGGUUGCCAAAAAUUGUUGAUCCAUGCCCAAGUUCUGCGACAAUGGGUGUUGAUUGUCGCAUAUACAGACAACUCCUCUAUAAUCCUCCAGGUGAGUGCUCUUUGAGCUCUUUAUGCUCUUGUACAACCACUCUGUUGCUCUCAUAACAUCUUCUUUGUUCCUUAAGUGUUGACUUAGGCAUCAAAGGCUAUCCCGUUGGAUACUUUUCGAUAAGAGGAUUUUUUUAUUUUUACUGUUUUAGCUCAGAUCUACCAUCAGAGCAAAGGUCCAAGAAAAAUCUUUGUUGCUCAACACCACCUUGGAUGCGACCGACGGCGGAGCAAUCAUCGCUUGAAUGUAGUAGGCAUCAAACCGUCAUCUCAAAGAUUGAUCAUGAUCUUUGACCGACCAUCAUGAUUUGAGCAGCUGACUUGGUGCUAGAGGAAAGGUCAUAAUCCCAC
rnacentral:lncRNA from 1 species